rnacentral:rRNA from 1 species
UACGUAGGCAGCAAGCGUUGUUCGGAGUUACUGGGCGUAAAGGGUGCGUAGGUGGCUCUAUAAGUAUGGUGUGAAAUCUCCCGCUUAACUGGGAGGGUGCGCCGUAGACUGUGGGGCUAGAGUGUGGGAGAGGAAAGUGGAAUUCCUGGUGUAGCGGUGAAAUGCGUAGAUAUCAGGAGGAACACCGGUGGUGUAAACGGCUUUUCUGGACCAUAACUGACACUGAGGCACGAAAGCGUGGGUAGCAAACAGG